rnacentral:rRNA from 1 species
CCUACGGGAGGCAGCAGUGGGGAAUAUUGCUCAAUGGGGGAAACCCUGAUGCAGCGACGCCGCGUGAGCGAUGACGUACCUACGUAUUUUAAGCUCUAUUUGCAGGGAAGAAAAUGACGUUACCUGUCUAACAUGCCCCGUCUAACUACGUGCCAGCAGCCGUGGUUAUAUGGAGGGGGCCGGCGUUAUACGGAUUUACUGGGGGUAAUGGGAGCGUAUUCGGUUCUGCAAGCGAGAUGUGAAAGCCCGGGGCUCAACCCCGGGACUGCAGUUGGAACUGGAAGGCUUGAGUGUCGGAGAGGCAGGCGGAAUGCGUAGUGUAGCGGUGAAAUGCGUAGAUAUUAGGAAGAACCCCGAUGGCGAAGGCAGCCUGCUGGAGGAUAACUGACGUUGAUGCUCGAAAGCGUGGGGAGCGAACAGGAUUAGAUACCCUUGUAGUC